rnacentral:rRNA from 1 species
CCGGUCCGGUAUGCCUGGCGGUGUCGCGGGCGCGUCAAUGCUGGGCUCCCAAAUAUCGGCUGGCCGCAUUCAAUCGUGCCGGAUCCGUCGACGGGCCGUUCUUCGGAGGGGCCUGUUGGCGACCGGCGACGUUACCUUGAACAAAUUAGAGUGCUCAAAGCAGGCUCUGAAUGCCUGUAUACAUAUUCAUGGAAUUGGAGAAUACGUCCCUGGCUCGAUUUGGUUGGUUUUGAGAGUCGAAGGGAAAUGAUUAAUAGGGACUGACGGAGGCAUUCGUAUUGCGACGCGAGGGGUGAAAUCCUGUGACCGUCGCACGACGAACUACUGCGAAAGCAUUUGCCGAGAAUGUUUUCAUUAGUCAAGAACGAAAGUUAGAGGUUCGAAGGCGAUCAGAUACCGCCCUAGUUCUAACCGUAAACGAUGUCGACCAGCAAUCCGCAACGGUCACUACACGGACUGUGCGGGCAGCUUCCCCGGGGAAACCAGAGUUUUUGGACUCCGGGGGAAGUAUGGUUGCAAAGCUGAAACUUAAAGGAAUUGACGGAAGGGCACCACCAGGAGUGGAGCUUGCGGCUUAAUUUGACUCAACACGGGACAACUCACCAGGCCCGGACACCGUAAGGAUUGACAGACUGAUAGCUCUCUCUUGAUUCAGUGGGUGGUGGUGCAUGGCCGUUCUUAGUUGGUGGAGUGAUUUGUCUGGUUUAUUCCGAUAACGAACGAGACUCUGGCCUAUUAAACUUGACACUGUCAGUCUCUUGUGACUGCGGUGCGCUUCUUA